UUCUGGAGAACAGGGAACCGGCAAAUAGUCUGGCCCCACCCUCGCUGUCUCCCAGUUGAUCUUCUUUUGUUGCCCUGAAUAGGAGAACGGAGCUGGAAAGCAGAUCUUUGGGAAGGAUUCAAUCAGUGGAUGAAAAUGCCAACUCCAGCCUAAGCAUUGUGCUGACUGUGUGACCAAUCGUCAUCCUCACCAUCAUAAAUCUGCCUACCCCAGGCCCUUGGGAAAGACUGGAUAGGAAGGGGGGAAAUGCCAAAUCCAGUCUAAACAUUUGGCUGGCUAUGUGACCAACCCUAAAAUUGUGAUGCUAGAGGUGGUUUCCGAACUUUAAACAUUGUAGUCACAACCCAAGAAUCUUCCUGGAAGAAUUGCACAUAAGCUGCUAUAGAUGAAGAUCAUCCUUUUAAGUAGAUGAAUUGUGCCAUCUGCAAUCAGAACCCUGAGAUUAACGGGAGGUGGUUAAUGUACCAGACCUCCUGUCUUGUUUAGUGACAGUAACUGCAAGGAGCUGACAGUUCUGAUUGCCUGAUACAGGAUGCUUGCACAUGUCCCACUGCACGUUAGCUUUACUACUUUGUCAUACUAAAGCUGGAAAUAGGUUUAGAGCUAGAGAAAGAACAGAAGAGGUCAGUGGAGAAUACCAUAGAGGUCAGGCACUAGGUCAGGCAUACCAACAAAAGGCUAGAGGUUAAAGCUGAACCCAGGCAAAAUUAAUGUUGGGCUUUCAACAGAACAGCAGUAGGAAAAUGCAAGUGGGAUCACACCAAAUAAAAGAAGAGUAAGGGGCUCUGACAGCUGUCCAAACUGUAACAUUCCUCAAUAAAUGCCAGACUCAGGACUAGAGAAGUAAAAUUUCCAGAAACGUUGAAGUCUUGAAGAAAAACUCCAGUGUCUUGAGUUUUCUAACACUUAAGCCUAUAUUCUCUGCUACCCUUAUUUUCUGUGAUAUCAGGUUAGCACAAGAAUUUCACUCAGAAAAAGGAAGCUUUUUUUUUCUCCAUCCAAGAGAAUUUUCUCUUUGGAACUACCACUUCCUGCUUCUGUCAACUUCAAGGUCAUACUUCUUUUGGUUUUCUAACUUCAGAAUUUUGAGAUUUUCUUC